rnacentral:rRNA from 1 species
UAAGACAGAGGGUGCAAACGUUGUUCGGAAUUACUGGGCGUAAAGCGCGUGUAGGCGGUUGCAUAAGUCGGGUGUGAAAGCCCAGGGCUCAACCCUGGAAGUGCACUCGAAACUGCGCGACUAGAGUCUCGGAGAGGGAAGCGGAAUUCUGGGUGUAGAGGUGAAAUUCGUAGAUAUCCAGAGGAACACCGGUGGCGAAGGCGGCUUCCUGGACGAGCACUGACGCUGAGACGCGAAAGCGUGGGGAGCAAACAGGAUUAGAUACCCUGGUAGUCCACGCCGUAAACGAUGAGUGCUAGAUGUCGCGGGCAUUGACCCCUGCGGCGUCGUAGCUAACGCAUUAAGCACUCCGCCUGGGGAGUACGGCCGCAAGGCUA